UACAGAGGUCCCAAGCGUUGUUCGGAUUCACUGGGCGUAAAGGGUGCGUAGGUGGAGUGGUAAGUCAGUGGUGAAAUCUCCAAGCUUAACUUGGAAACUGCCGUUGAUACUAUCAUUCUUGAAUAUCGUGGAGGUAAGCGGAAUAUGUCAUGUAGCGGUGAAAUGCUUAGAUAUGACAUAGAACACCGAUUGCGAAGGCAGCUUGCUACACGAUCAUUGACACUGAGGCACGAAAGCGUGGGGAUCAAACAGG
rnacentral:rRNA from 1 species